rnacentral:rRNA from 1 species
UUAGUGGCGGACGGGUGAGUAACGCGUGGAAAACCUGCCGUAUACUGGGGGAUAACACUUAGAAAUAGGUGCUAAUACCGCAUAAGCGCACAGCUUCGCAUGAAGCGGUGUGAAAAACUCUGGUGGUAUACGAUGGUUCCGCGUCUGAUUAGCUAGUUGGUGGGGUAAUGGCCUACCAAGGCAACGAUCAGUAGCCGGCCUGGGAGGGUGAACGGCCACAUUGGGACUGAGACACGGCCCAGACUCCUACGGAAGGCAGCAG